UACGUAGGGUGCAAGCGUUGUCCGGAAUUAUUGGGCGUAAAGAGCUCGUAGGCGGUCUGUCGCGUCGGAUGUGAAAACCCGGGGCUUAACCCCGGGCCUGCAUUCGAUACGGGCAGACUCGAGUGUGGUAGGGGAGACUGGAACUCCUGGUGUAGCGGUGAAAUGCGUAGAUAUCUGGAGGAACACCGGUGGCGAAGGCGGCAUCCUGGACCGACACUGACGCUGAGGCGCGAAAGCCAGGGGAGCAAACGGG
rnacentral:rRNA from 1 species